CUGCAAACAAGUAGGUGUCAGUUUCCAGGAUCGAAACCAGGAGGAAGCUCAAAGAGCAUCCAGCCCCCAUGCUGUAAAAGGGAUUCAAGGCCCAGAACCAGAAGGUGAUUAGCCUUGCAGCAGGACAGAGGGCAGACAGCACCGAAGCCCAGGUCUGCUCACUCUGCUGGGAGCACUUCCCAGGCCACUGUGGAUCUGGGCCUUGUCCUCAGCUUGGGGUGGCUGCAGGAGCAUCCUGAGGAAUGAACCCAUGCCAGAGCACUGAAGAUGCCCCCACCGCCCCCGCUGCAGACUCCUCACCCAGGUCUCUUCAUCUCAAAGGGGCUGUCAUAGAGGCCCAGGGCUGUGACCUGGAGGAACACACUCCACCUUCCUGACAUCCAGCCCGUCUAUCACUCUGAUGGUGGAAAGGAACAGAGUGAGGACUCAAAGGGAGGUGCUGGGAGCAACCAAGGACAUCAGUGCCUCCUUCUCAACCAGACACCCUGGGCUCUGAGCCCUAAUGGUUCUCCCUCCCACUGUGGCCUAAGUGUCUUCACAUUCAAGGCUCUGGCAGUCAAGAGGAUUACAUCUCAACAUGAGAUUUGGAGGGACCAUCCAAACUAUAUCACACGCUUCCCAUCCUCAAGAAUGUGGCUGGGCCAGACCCAGACUCUGAGGACAUUCAGGGACACUGUGCCUCGCCAGCCCUCUGAAGUGCUCAGAACGUAUGUCCCGACCCCACUGAAUGCCAGGAACCAUGCACUGGGAAGUGGGUGGACAGGAGAGACAAGACAUGCUCCUUCCCCAAGAGGAGGCUGCAGGCAGCAAGGGAAACCCUUAGUGCUGAAUAAUAUUCCAUUGUCUGGAUGUACCACAGUUUGUCCACUCACUUACUGAAAGACAUCUUGAUAGCUUACAAGUUUUGGAAAUUCGGAAUAAAGCUGCUAAAAACAUCCAUGUGCAGUUCUUUGUGUGGAUGUACAUUUUCAACCCAUUUGGAUAAACAGAAUGGACUUGCAGUUGCUGGAUUACAUGUGCUUAAGGUGAGAUUCACUUGCACCUGAAUCAGCAGAAAAUAUUUGGAGCUUCAAGAAUAAAUGCAGAUGGCACUUAGAGAUGCUGCACCCAAUGUCAUAAGGGAUUCUGUGGAGGAGCUCAUUCCGAUGAAAUAGCCUUCUUUCUGCCAGAUCUCGCAUGAACCGAUCUUAAAUUGAGUUGCAUAAGGCAAACACCAGACCACUCAUCACUUAAGAAGCUUAAUAGAACAGAAAUGCCCUGAAGACAGAGUCAAGAGUUAAAGUGGAAGGAGAAAUGCCUAAACGGGAAAGACUGUUCAUUCUACAGUGCCCUGAGUAUGACCAUUUUCUAAGCACAGCCCAAAUAGCCAUAGCUAAAGGUGCAGAUGAGAAGUUAAAGAUGCAAUAGGACAAGCCCAAGAGCUCCUCCAGACAUGCAUCCAACUGUUGUUACCUUUUUGUGAGGGAAUGUGAAUCU
ensembl:lncRNA novel transcript